rnacentral:rRNA from 1 species
CAAUAGCGUAUAUUAAAGUUGUUGCGGUUAAAAAGCUCGUAGUUGGAGUUCUGCCAGGUGACACUCGUCCGCCCAAGUGGUGUGUACAGGGUGUGCAUCUGGCCCUUUCAAGGGGAACGUGUCUGCACUUCAUUGUGUGGUGCGAGAUCCUUGACUUUUACUUUGAGGAAAUAAGAGUGUUCCAAGCAGGCUCUCGUCGUGCAUAGCUCAGCAUGGAAUAAUAGCAUUGGACUUCGUUUCUACGCUGUUGGUUGCAAGAAGCGAGGUAAUGAUGAAGAGGGAUAGUUGGGGGCAUUCGUAUUUAACUGUCAGAGGUGAAAUUCUUGGAUUUGUUAAAGACAGACUACUGCGAAAGCAUCUGCCAUGGAUGUUUUCAUUGA